rnacentral:lncRNA from 1 species
GAGAACUGGGAAAGCACUGCCAGGAGGGAACCUGGCACCGUGUGCCAUGUAUGCUCCAGGCCUCUCUCACCAUAAGCUUGGUAUGGGGGCACCUGAGACUAUGACCCUCUAGACCUUAGAAGCAUCCUCGGAAGAGUGUGUGAAUAUCAAGUCCUAUGAAGUGCAGCUAAGGGGAGCACAUUUCUCAGGAAGUGCAGCUGGGCCUCCUGAAUCUCCUCACAUCAUUUCCAAGAAGCUUCCUGGAGCCUCUCUCAAAGAUGCAGUCUCAGGGGCAGGCGUAUCUCUGACUUCAGGAUAACCUUGUCUACAGAGCUGGUUCCAGGACGCCAGGGCUACACAGAAAAACCUUCAGGGGUUGGGGAGUGCACGCAUUACCACCACCACCUGCCUACUGAACCUCCGGAUAUCACAAAACUCAAUACAUACUCAAAAUGCUUUGAUUUCUUGACCCAGGUCUUGCCUACAAGCUGCUGGCCAUGCUCUUCGUCCUGAGACAUCUCCUGCGCCUUCUGGGACAUUAUGAGCUUCUGACUCUCCUCUUUCUCUCUCCUACACCCCCGGCUCCUUUGUGAGCCCAAGAUAUUCUAAACAUGAGGCCUUGAAAAUUUGCCAUAGAUACACUUAAGGACAGAAAGAUAGCUCAGUAAAUAUUGCAGUGAAGUUUUGUACCCUCUGAUCAGGUUCUUUGAAAGCUAGCAGCAGAGUAUAAUAGCCCCAGUUGUUUUUAAAGCUUUAUCUUUUUAUAUGUAAGUGUCUGUGUAAAUUUAGUGUGUGUGUGUGUGUGUGUGUGUGCGCGCGCGCGUGCCAGCACAUGCCAGAAAAUAGUGUGGAAUCUCCUGGAAUUGGAGUUACCAGAAGUUGUGGACUUGAGAGCAGACCUCUGAUAACUGGAAGAGCAACAACAGCUCUUAAUAACAGUUGAAAGAUUUUCCAACCCCUGACACUUGGGGGAGGGGGAAGUGUGUGACACGUGUUUUUAAAUGAAUUAUGUUUUCUUGUUCAAGCCUAAAUCUUACGUCAUGAAGCUCAUUUAUUUCUUAAAAUAGCACUGCUUUACAUGUGUUUUCUUAUGUUAUUUAUACGUGUUAUACCACAUGUUUUUUCUCAGUGCUAAAAUAUAAUAUAAAUAACAUAACAUUGAAUCAGCUCUCAUAAACAGUCAACAUCUAAUAUACUCUAGAGUGAAAUGCAUCCUAAGUGCUAUAAUAAAUAUGUAGUCAAAAAUGUCAUAAAAUAUGUAUUUGUAUUAUAUCAUUGGAUAAAUUCAUAAGUCAACAAUAAAACAAAGCUACUAAAACAACUUUCAAAAAUGUAAGUGCUGGGCAUUUAUAAUUAUUAAAGACCAUUUUUUUCUUUAAAAGAUAAUUGUAAGACAUAAACAGCAUAUUGUGUAGUUUAUAACAUGUCAGAACUAAAUGUAUGGCAAUAAUAAAAAAGUUGU